UCUGGGAUAAGCCUGGGAAACUGGGUCUAAUACCGGAUAUGACUUCUCAUCGCAUGGUGGGGGGUGGAAAGCUUUUGUGGUUUUGGAUGGACUCGCGGCCUAUCAGCUUGUUGGUGGGGUAAUGGCCUACCAAGGCACGACGGGUAGCCGGCCUGAGAGGGUGACCGGCCACACUGGGACUGAGACACGGCCCAGACUCCUACGGGAGGCAGCAGUGGGGAAUAUUGCACAAUGGGCGCAAGCCUGAUGCAGCGACGCCGCGUGAGGGUGACGGCCUUCGGGUUGUAAACCUCUUUCAGUAGGGAAGAAGCCCUCUUUUGGGGGUGACGGUACUUGCAGAAGAAGCGCCGGCUAACUACGUGCCAGCAGCCGCGGUAAUACGUAGGGCGCAAGCGUUAUCCGGAAUUAUUGGGCGUAAAGAGCUCGUAGGCGGUUUGUCGCGUCUGCUG
rnacentral:rRNA from 1 species